GUGUAUUCAUUACAGGAUUUUCUUCUUUCAUCGUCUCAGGAGAAUUUGUGUUGCCUCGAGAACUGAAAAACUCUGAGUCAAUUGCAGAUAAUCCUUGUGGCGAAGUAUCAGACUCCAUAUGUGUUGCAUUUGUUGUCUCUGCACGUCGAAUCUCAAGUUUUGGUCUUUUACGACUAGCCUGGACAUCUGAGUUAAACACACUUUUACUAUCCGGCUGUGCUAUUUCGCCAACACCACGGCGAGAUAUAGAGAACCAUUUUGCAAUGUCAUGCUUCCACGUUUUCCAUUCU
rnacentral:lncRNA from 1 species